rnacentral:rRNA from 1 species
UUGUGGUUAAAAAGCUCGUAGUUGGAUCUCGGCGGACUGAGGGCGGUUUGCUUGCUAGUAUUACUGCCCUAUAGUCCGUAGUUUUGCCAGAGGUUUCGGGGUGCUCUUAAUCGAGUGUCCCGGGAUGCUGGCAGGUUUACUUUGAAAAAAUUAGAGUGCUCAAAGCAGGCUAUUACGCCUGAAUAUUCGUGCAUGGAAUAAUAGAAUAGGAAGUCGUUUCUAUUUUGUUGGUUUUCGGAAAUCGACUUAAUGAUUAAUAGGGACAGUCGGGGGCAUUUGUAUUCAAACGACAGAGGUGAAAUUCUUGGACCGUUUGAAGACAAACUACUGCGAAAGCAUUUGCCAAGAAUGUUUUCAUUAAUCAAGAACGAAAGUUAAAGGUUCGAAGGCGAUUAGAUACCGCCCUAGUUUUAACCAUAAACGAUGCCAGCUAGCGAUCUGCGGACGUUUUUUUUGUAGACUCCGCAGGAAGCUUCCGGGAAACCAAAGCAUUUGGGUUCCAGGGGAAGUAUGGUUGCAAAGCUGAAACUUAAAGGAAUUGACGGAAGGGCACCACCAGGAGUGGAGCCUGUGGCUUA